GGUAGUCAGAGGUGCCACGGGAAUGGGGCUUUCCCACCCAGAAGUCUACCUGCCCCCCGCCUUGUGCCGCUCCUGACUUCCAAGGGUGCAGGGGUGGGGAACAGGCCCGCCACCUUCUGACCUACUGACCCACCCGUGAAGUGAAGCACGUAGCUCUUUGUUUCAGAGGGGGGAUGGUCCACAGCCCUCCCCAGACCCAGGCCCCGUCUCCCUCACCUCCACAGUCCCCGGGGCCGACACCCAAGUGUGAAGUCAGUAAGGUGGGGGCCUCACACGCGAGAGGCGUCAGCCACAGGAGACCCUUGAGGCUUCUGCACCUGCCCAGGGACCCACCUGUCAAAGAAGGUGGCGAGGAGCCGUCUCAGCAAGACCUUGUGCUUCACCCCUGCGCAGAGGUGGCAGUUCAUCAGCUGACCUCGUGUGAUGUAGACGCCAGAGCCUGUGAGCACCAGACACAGAAGAGUGAGGCGCUCGGCCUCCCCACCCACACAGCCCAAGGCCAGGGCCUCCCCGGGAGGCUCCUGGGGCCAGAGCAGAAACCUGGCAAGGCCCAGGGGCCCAGCAAGGCGCGGGCCAAGCCACAGAGGACACACCGCCCAGAGUGUGGGGUGGCCUUCCUUUAACGGACGCUGCUCGUGGAGAAAGGAGCCCGCACCGGACGGUGCCCCCGACCCCCUGAGACAACAGUGCGGUAAACCCCAACGGGCUCUGGGGCCUCCUGAAGUCUCCUUCAGGCCUCUGUGACCCCAGCUGUCACAGAUCACGUGCUGAAUCUUGUGAAAAAGACAAGGGGGGGGGGCUCCUUUCUCGGGGGGCAGGGUGGAAGGAAGACACGCGGAGGUGUUCUUGCGUGUGGGUCCCCAGCUGGGCGGCCUGGGGCUGGCUUCCCUCCACGGGCCAGGUCUCCAGGGGAGCCUGGGCCCACUGUUUAAACAGACACGUGAUUCUGGACGGAGACCACCGCCGGGGGCGUUGGGUCAGUGUGGCCUGACGGUCCUCAGCCACAGCAUGCCAGGUGUCCCUGAGGGCCACCCCGCUCCCGUCUGCAGAGGCUCCCACCCAACAGCAGAGCAGAAUUCCGUUUCUGACUCGGACCUGCGUCUGGAGCCUGGUCGCUACCCGUCAGCGCAGCGAUGGGGCGCUCUGGGACUUGGGGGAGGGGGGCCUGUGCGCUGUAUUCGAUUUGGUUUUAUCUGCCACCUAAAUUAAAACACAAUCGUGAUUGCA